ensembl:lncRNA
GUUCAUAUUCAUUUAUGAUUGAAGAUAUAAUACUUUUUACUCUGAAGUACUCUACAUAAAGCUUGUAAAUAAUCCAACACAGUAGAUCCUCCAGAAGUACUUUUCUUCCCCUUCUAAUAAGAAGUUUAUUCUUUUGAGAGUGAAGAAUAAUCAGUCUGGUUUCCUUUGCAUUGCUUGCCUGCGGAUUCUAAGUGGAACCUAGUCACAUAAAAGGCAAGGGUCAUGGAGUGUGAGUGCCUCUAAUGCCUGGAGUACCUCAAUCAGAAACCACUGUGGCUUUACACCAAUUAGGGGCUAAAGGUCACAAGUUCCAAAGAGUCAAUCUUCUCUGAAGAACAGUUUUCCCAUUCAGAAGAAAGCCAACAACCCUUCUCCUUUAGAAGCUGGCACACUGGGAGCUAAGCCUCCAUUAAACCCUAACUGGAUGCGGUGCACUUUCCUUUUAUAGUGUGUACACGUGAGCCAACAGCAUUUCAGGUGCCUAGAAAUGUGUUUGUCAAUAAACGUUUUGUCUGGUUUGAGGUGUCUGAGGAUCUUUAUUCACUCAUUCAUUCAUUCACUCAGAGACAUUGCUUAUUACUUUCCUACUGGAGAGGAAACAAGGGAAAUUGCCCUUUAGUUCUGAAAAACUAAAGAUUAGGGAUCAAUACCACCUGUGCCAGAGUUUAUUGGCAGUUAGUUUCCUGGCCUUUAACACAGAAAUAAUCCUCUCUGAAAACACUUUUUUGAAUACAGG